GGGGCACAGUCCCAUUUUUGGGGAUAUUGUCCCAAUUUUGGGAUGGGACACAGGGGGCACAGUCCCAUUUUUUGGGGGGAAUUUGUCCCCAUUUCAGGAAGGAAUAUGAGGGGGAACAGUCCCUUUUUUAGGGGGAUAUUGUCCCCAAUUUGGGGAGGGACACAAGGGGGAACAGUCCCGUUUUUAGGGGGGAAUUGUCCCCAUUUGGGGAGGGACUCUGAGGGAACAGUCCAUUUUUAGGGGGAUAUUAUCCCCAGUUUGGGGAGGGACACGAGGGGGACAGUGCCAUUUUUGGGGGGAAUUUGUCCCAGUUUUGGGGAGGGACUCUGAGGGAACAGUCCCAUUUUUAGGGGAAUAUUGUCCCCAUUUUGGGAUGGACACGGGGGGCACAGUCCCAUUUUUGGGGAUAUUGUCCCAAUUUUGGGAUGGGACACAGGGGGCACAGUCCCAUUUUUUGGGGGGAAUUUGUCCCCAUUUCAGGAAGGAAUAUGAGGGGGAACAGUCCCUUUUUUAGGGGGAUAUUGUCCCCAAUUUGGGGAGGGACACAAGGGGGAACAGUCCCGUUUUUAGGGGGGAAUUGUCCCCAUUUGGGGAGGGACUCUGAGGGAACAGUCCAUUUUUAGGGGGAUAUUAUCCCCAGUUUGGGGAGGGACACGAGGGGGACAGUGCCAUUUUUGGGGGGAAUUUGUCCCAGUUUUGGGGAGGGACUCUGAGGGAACAGUCCCAUUUUUAGGGGAAUAUUGUCCCCAUUUUGGGGUGGACACGGGGGGCACAGUCCCAUUUUUGGGGAUAUUGUCCCAAUUUUGGGAUGGGACACAGGGGGCACAGUCCCAUUUUUUGGGGGGAAUAUUGUCCCCAUUUUGGGAUGGACACGGGGGGCACAGUCCCAUUUUUGGGGGGGUAUUGUCCCCAUUUUGGGACAGGACACAGGGGGCACAGUCCCAUUUUUGGGGAUAUUGUCCCCAUUUUGGGAUGGGACACGGGGGGCACAAUCCCAUUUUUGGAAAUAUUUUCCCAAUUUUGGGAUGGGACACAGAGGGCACACUCCCAUUUUUGGGGGUGUUGUCCCCAUUUUGGGACGGGACACGGGGGGCACAGUCCCAUUUUUGGGGGGACUCACCGUAGGCCACCGGGGUCAGCUUUAGCACGGUGUGCAGGGGACACUUGAGGUAGGGCAGCUCAUCUGGGGUGGGUGAAGAGAACCGAGCUGUUGACAGCAGCUCUGGGCUGUCCCCAGAGUGUCCCCAGAGUGUCCCCAGAGUGUCCCCAAGGCCUCACCUGCACUCUUGUCCAGGAAAUAGGCCAGCAGGCAGCGCAUGACCGCCUGGUGGCAGAUGACCAGAACGUUCUCCUGCCGCUCCAGCUCCAUGAUCACCGGCUCCAACCGCUGCACCAGGUCCUCGUAGGACUGGGGAGGGGGGGUUAGGGGGUGUCCCCAGACCCCUGCCCACCCCCCCAGAGGGGGUAUUUUGGGGUUACCUCUCCCUUGGGGUAACGGUAGCGGUACUUGUCCU
rnacentral:lncRNA from 12 species